rnacentral:rRNA from 1 species
UACGUAGGUGGCAAGCGUUAUCCGGAAUUAUUGGGCGUAAAGCGCGCGCAGGCGGUUUCUUAAGUCUGAUGUGAAAGCCCACGGCUCAACCGUGGAGGGUCAUUGGAAACUGGGAAACUUGAGUGCAGAAGAGAAAAGCGGAAUUCCACGUGUAGCGGUGAAAUGCGUAGAGAUGUGGAGGAACACCAGUGGCGAAGGCGGCUUUUUGGUCUGUAACUGACGCUGAGGCGCGAAAGCGUGGGGGAGCAAACAGG